rnacentral:rRNA from 1 species
GACGAACGCUGGCGGCGUGCUUAACACAUGCAAGUCGAACGGAAAGACCCAGCUUGCUGUCUGCUCGAGUGGCGAACGGAUGGGUAACACGUGGGUGAUCUGCCCCUAACUUCGGGUUAAGCUAGUGCAACUGGGUCUAAUAACUGAUAGGACAAUCGUUUAGCGUCGUUUUUGGAAAGUUUUUUCGGUUAGGGAUGAGUCCGAGGCCUAUCAGCUUGUUGGUGGGGUAAUGGCCUACCAAGGCGUCGACGGGUAGCCGGCCUGGGAGGGUGGACGGCCACAAUGGGACUGAGAUACGGCGCAGACGCGUACGGGAGGCAGCAGUGGGGAAUAUUGCACAAUGGGCGCAAGCCUGAUGCAGCGACGCCGCGUGGGGGAUGACGGCCUUCGGGUUGUAAACCUCUUUCGACAGGGACGAAGCUUUGGUGACGGUACCUGUAUAAGAAGCACCGGCUAACUACGUG